rnacentral:rRNA from 1 species
CCUACGGGAGGCAGCAGUGGGGAAUAUUGGUCAAUGGGCGAGAGUCUGAACCAGCCAAGUAGCGUGAAGGAUGACUGCCCUCGGGUUGGUAAACUUCGUUUAUAUGGGAGUACAAUGUUCCACGUAUGGAGUUUUGUAUGUACCAUAUGAGUAAGGAUCGGCUAACUCCGUGCCAUCAGCCGAGGUAAUACGGAGGAUCCGAGCGUUACCCGGAUUUAUUGGGUUUAAAGGGAGCGUAGGUGGAUUGUUAAGUCAGGUGUGAAAGUUUGGGGCUCAACCGUAAAAUUGCAGUUGAAACUGGCAGUCUUGAGUACAGUAGAGGUGGGCGGAAUUCGUGGUGUAGCGGUGAAAUGCUUAGAUAUCACGAAGAACUUCGAUGGCGAAGGCAGCUCACUGGACUGCAACUGACACUGAGGCUCGAAAGUGUGGGUAUCAAACAGGAUUAGAUACCCUAGUAGUC